GGAAAGUACUGCAUCAGAUUGGCCUCGUUUCUCAUGCCAGCUCCCAGAGAGACCCCACGGGCAAAGCAGAGAGUGUGUAUCCUUCCCCUCCAGCAGAUGCUGCUGCCCUUGGAAGGGUGGGCACAGGGCUCAGAGCAACAGAGAUCCCACGGGACCCACUUGCUUGAUCUCCCAAGAUCUGCAGUGAUAGCAGCUUUAGUUUGUCAGCUCAGACAAACUGCCUCUAUUUCUGCUUGGAGCUUCCAAGUCCCUUGCAAGCAGCAGUUACCUCAGGGUUAGUUACCAAGGUUGGCCAGAGCUGUUUCUCUCCUGUAUUACUCAGAGUCCUCUUCUCCAUGUCAUCCAACUGCCUCCAAAACAGCCUUCAUCCCCUCUCUUGUGCCAUGAGGUGUGUGGUCAGGCAGGGCUAUGAUGUCUCCAUCGUGCACCUGUCCUGCCUCAGCUAUAUAUGCUGCAGGGAGCAGCAAUCCAGCUCUGGCAGCGUGGCUCUGGAAGCAUCUCUAAGUGCUGAUGCUCUAAGCGUACUGGUUCUCCAGUGCACUGAAUAAAAAAAAAGACAUAAAUCCAAGGGGAUAAUAAACUAGAAAGUGAUAGGCCAAGAACAGCGACAAUAAAUGGAUAACCACUCAGCCUCCAGGGAGGAGCAGAGCAAUUUGUUGUUCUUGAGUGCACAUCUGAGCAGAGACAGGCAGGGCGUGCAGGCAGAUAUGCAUACCUCUAGGGAAAUGCAUAUGCAUUUGUGGCAGCACAUAUGUGCAUGGUCACACAUUGCUUCAGCAGGAUGCACAGAGGCAAACUGGCCACGCUCUCCUGCUCCCUGCUGUCCAAAUUUUGACCGUGUCACAGAUGCUUCUGUACUACCCAGGUACAGUGGAUAUGAGAUGAAGGCUCUGCUUGCAGGUGUGAGAUGUUGGUGUGCUGCCAGUUCUGGCAGUCCUCAUGCAAUUAAAGUGAAAAAUCACUGC